rnacentral:ncRNA from 1 species
CACCUGCCCGGUGCUGAAAGGUCGGAAGGAGAAGUGUUAUAAGCUUUUAAUGGAAGCCUAGGUUAACGCUGGUAGUAAAUCUAACUGUCCUAAGGUAGAGAAAUUCCUUGUCGCAUAAGUAGAUACCUGCAAGAAUGGCG